UUCGAUUUGGAGGGCAAGUCUGGUGCCAGCAGCCGCGGUAAUUCCAGCUCCAAUAGCGUAUAUUAAAGUUGUUGCAGUUAAAAAGCUCGUAGUUGAAUUUCGGGGUUAGUAGGUUGGUCAUGCCUCUGGUAUGUACUGGUCUCACUGAUUCCUCCUUCCUUAUGAACCGUAAUGCCAUUAAUUUGGUGUUGCGGGGAAUUUGGACUGUUACUUUGAAAAAAUUAGAGUGUUUAAAGCAAGCUAACGCUUGAAUACAUUAGCAUGGAAUAAUGAAAUAGGACGUUCGAUCUUAUUUUGUUGGUUUCUAGGAUUGACGUAAUGAUUAAUAGGGAUAGUUGGGGGCAUUAGUAUUCAAUUGUCAGAGGUGAAAUUCUUGGAUUUAUUGAAGACUAACUACUGCGAAAGCAUUUGCCAAGGAUGUUUUCAUUAAUCAAGAACGAAAGUUAGGGGAUCGAAGACGAUCAGAUACCGUCGUAGUCUUAACCAUAAACUAUGCCGACUAGGGAUCGGAUGAUGUUAAUUUUUUAAUGACUCAUUCGGCGCCUUACGGGAAACA
rnacentral:rRNA from 1 species